GAGAGUAUAUGAGAAAUGGAAACUCCUAGAAAACGCCGUUUUUGGGUCGCGAGUUCAGGUGUGACAUCCAAGGAGCGAGGCAUGGGGUAUAAAGAUAGAAGUGAGAGAAGUUAGGAAGGGCGGGUGAGGGAGGGAUCCGAAGGCAAAGAUGACGAGAGGGAAGCAGAAGAUCGACGCGCAGAGGAGGAAUGCGGAGAGGAAUCAGAAGGCCAAGGGAUCCCAGCUCGAGGCCAGGGCCGUCGGCCUUAAAGUUAGCUGCCCCGUCUGCAAGUUUCCUUCUUCCGAGGAGCAAAUGAGGUGACUGGCAGGCAUGUUAAAGCUUGUACAAAUAAGAGUCAAUAUAUUGAGAUACUUAGGAACAUGAUACCUCUCUAGGGAGUGUUUGUAAUUGAGCAAGAACAUUUUGGCACACAAGUAAGUGAUUUCUCCUGUUGCCACGGUAGCCUGGUUUCAUUGGAGCCACCAUUUUCAGCAGCUCAUUAGUUACUAUUGUGUUGAGCAUUUUAUGGAUGGGAUCAUGAAUUUCACUUCAGUCUGGUUUGAAUUAAGGUUCAACUAGCAAACCAGAAUCAGCUUGUAGACCAUUAUGGAUCAAAGCACCCCAAGGAGAAGCCUCCUAGCGAAUCAGGUGCUUAGUUCAUCAGGUAGUGCAACAAGCUCAAGCAUGCUAACUGAACAAGCUGCAUGAAUUAGAAGCGUAGUUUCACUAGUGGUGGUCCUCUCUCUCUCUUUCUCUCUCUCUAUGCUUUUCGUUCUGGAGUAGAAACCAAUGUUCUGUUGAUAUUUGAUCCCGGAGUAACUUUAUAAAUGGAAUCGUCUUUGCACUCCGAAAUGCUCAUGUAAUAUUCAGAAAAUCAUCAGGAGCUAUAAACAAAGCCUGUGGCAGUGUAUACUGUGUUCAUAACAAUAUAUUACAUGCUUUUCUUACUCGAGCUAGGAUUGGAACAA